UAAGGAAUAUUGGUCAAUGGACGAAAGUCUGAACCAGCCAUGCCGCGUGGAGGAUGAAGGCCCUCUGGGUUGUAAACUUCUUUUAUAGGGGACGAAAAAGGGUCUUUCUAGAUUAACUGACGGUACCCUAGGAAUAAGCACCGGCUAACUCCGUGCCAGCAGCCGCGGUAAUACGGAGGGUGCAAGCGUUAUCCGGAUUCACUGGGUUUAAAGGGUGCGUAGGUGGGUUAGUAAGUCAGUGGUGAAAUCUUCGAGCUUAACUCGGAAACUGCCAUUGAUACUAUUAGUCUUGAAUAUUGUGGAGGUUAGCGGAAUAUGUCAUGUAGCGGUGAAAUGCUUAGAUAUGACAUAGAACACCAAUUGCGAGGGCAGCUGGCUACACAGAAAUUGACACUGAGGCACGAAGGCGUGGGGAUCAAAC
rnacentral:rRNA from 1 species